GGUGGCUCAGUGGUGAUAGAGCACUUGCCUUGCAUGCAUGAGGCCCUGGGUUCGAUUCCUCAGCACCA
rnacentral:tRNA from 1 species